rnacentral:rRNA from 1 species
UACGUAGGGUGCAAGCGUUAAUCGGAAUCACUGGGCGUAAAGGGUGCGUAGGCGGGUCUUUAAGUCAGGGGUGAAAUCCUGGAGCUCAACUCCAGAACUGCCUUUGAUACUGAAGAUCUUGAGUUCGGGAGAGGUGAGUGGAACUGCGAGUGUAGAGGUGAAAUUCGUAGAUAUUCGCAAGAACACCAGUGGCGAAGGCGGCUCACUGGCCCGAUACUGACGCUGAGGCACGAAAGCGUGGGGAGCAAACAGG